rnacentral:piRNA from 1 species
AAAGUGUAAGAUGUUAAGGG